rnacentral:lncRNA from 1 species
UGGUUCAGACUCCGUUGCCACUGAGAAUUAGACUAUUCCUGACUAGAUGGCUCUAUUGUUCAGUCACUGCCACUGCUCUCCUUCAGGACUUUGCUACCUGCUGAAGAGGCCCCUGAGAUAUUCCGGAGACUCCACCCUAUCCUGUACGUUGUCACCUGCAGCCGGUUCCAGGCACAAGUAUGGAUUGGCAGGAAUGGGCCUCCCCACCCCCACACCUUUAUAAGCACAGAUUGCUAUUAAACAUUUGAGCCUUGAUCAGGAACCUUGACUUGGCAUCCAUUAUUUCUCUCGACUGCCUAGUUUCUGUCUUUCAGCCCCCACCUGCCACCCAGGUGUACCCAGUCCAUGUGAGCCGCGGGCUGACUCACAACAGGAGCUAAACUCUUAAAUCAAAACCUAAAAUCUAUAGAUGUGCUUUAGCCUGGACAGGUAUAGUAUCAUUCUCCUAGAGCUAGAAUUCUGAAAGAUUAUGAUAUAAAACCUAUUAAGCAAUGCUUAUUUACACCUUUCUCCACCUCUCUGUAUCUGUGUACUGUUUAUUCUGUCUGUCUGUCAUAUAUUUUUGGAUAUGCAUGUUUUCUCUCUCUUCAUAAUUAUCUCUGACCUAUCAAUUUUUCUUUACACAUCUAUAUUUCUUUCUAUAUCAUCAUCAUUUAUCUUCAUCUUGGAUAACAUUACUUCCCUGAUUUGAAAUUGUAUACUUACACACUAUUCUUUUAGGUUUUUUUUUCCUAUUAAUUUAACUGAAGCCAUGGUAGCUUCUUACACGUAUGGAGUGUGUGCUGGCCAGCAAGGGCCUCCAGCAAUCCUCUACUAUGUGUGGAAUGUGGGAAAACUUGGCUUGGCUCUGGGUGUUGAAUGGUCUCUUUCAGCAGACUUUUAAGUAAAUAGUAGAAGUCACACUGAAAACUGAAUCUGUUUACUUUUUAGGUUUCUUCUUUAUUUGUUGGUGUAAAUCUUUGGGGUACUGUGUUGAUUGUCAAAAAUUCCUUUCAAUACACUUCAGUUUAUACCUCAAUGACUUUGCAGUGGAAUUCCUGAGUGUCUAGCUCCUUUUCACCAUGUUAGGACUUCCUUAAAAAAGAAUACAGAAUUUAUUUUAAAAUGACAUUCCACUGAGAUUUGUUCUUGAAUUACUUAUUCUACGUUUUGAAGAUGAGGACUUUUUGCCAGACUUUUUAAGCCCUUGUGACUUUAGUCUGUUUCUAUGACAUAUCCAAGGUAAAGUUAGCCAAUCUGGGACCCACUGCUUAUUGUAACUGGUCCUCACAUAUUUGUGUUGCUUUUUCCUCAAAUCAGUCACCUGAUCUAAUUCUUAGAGGCAAAACAUAGCAUCAUUAAUAUUGAUAUUACUAACUUUCUUCCUGGGUCUAAGUAGAAUUAUACUCUUACAUUUGCAGAGGAAGAAAGAUGUUUUUCUUCUUCCUUGACAGGGUUUUACCUGGGGGGGGGGGGUCUGUGGCAAAAGACAGAUUAACAGAUGAGAAGUAAAUAGAUGUUUUCUAGCAUGCACACACACACACACACACACACACACACACACACUCACACACAGAGACACACAUGUGUGUUUGUAUAUAUCUCUAUCUCUAUAUAUCUAUAUCUUACAUACAAGGAGAGAAACUCAGAGAGGAGAUUCAAGAACUUUUGGGUUGAACUGAGAAUUCCACAGCAUUUUAGCCAAUGAAGAUUAUGACUUUUGGAGAAAUGUAAGACAGUGGAAAAGGGUAAGACAGUAGGAACUCUGAGAAGAAACCCUGGGGAGACAAAUGUUUGGUACUUAAGGGAAGGUGAACCUGGCUAGUGAAUCCCAUGGCGCAGGAACCUCCUGCUUCUGGUUUAAGUUGGCAAGGGUUUGAAGUUGGUUCUGGUGAGGAACAUGGUGAAGAAGGAAGGGCAGACAUCUUCAUACAUUUGUUAUAUUUGGCAAGAUGGAGGAUGCACAGUUUUUUGCUUCGACCUUCAGUAGCUCUUGGCCAGAAUAACCAUUAUAUCAAAGCAUCACAUUUGGGAACAGCAAGUUCUGCUUCCUUUCACAUAGAAAGGGGAAAAAGUUGAAAAUUAGAGGAAGAUUCUUGUCUUUCAGCAUUAUUAGGAGAGGAGAGUCAAUGAUAAAGUAUUAUUAAUGCACAUAUUGGAUUUAAUAUCUAGGGCUUUAAAAGUAGUAUGCAAUAAAAUCACAUCCCUAGUUGUACACUCCAGUUUUUAUUUAGAUGCAAAUACUUAUAAUAAUGAUUAUAAAAUUUAAAAGUUAAGAAGAUUACAUAGUAGGGGUUUGUGAUUUUUUUCAAUUAAAAAUUUAACAAGAUCUAUUAAGUAAAGCUGUAAGGAAGAAUGAGAGUCUAUGUUAAAAAUCCAUCAUGAGCAGGGCAGUGGUGGCUCAUGCCUUUAAUCCUAGCACUUGGGAGGCAGAGGCAGGUGGAUUUCUGAGUUCGAGGCCAGUCUGGUCUACAUAGUGAGUUCCAGGACAGCCAGGGCUAUACAGAGAAACCCUUUCUCAAAACAACAACAACAACAACAACAACAACAACAACAACCAAAAAAAAAAGAAGAAGAAAGUUAAAUUCCUAUCUUGUAUAACAGUAAUUAAAAGCAUACAGCCCAUGCCAGACUACUUAGAUUUCAAUCUACCUGACAUGGUCAAAUAUAAUUGUUUGGGAUCAAAUAACUACCUUGGGUAUGAAAUAAGUACAGAUAGAAGAAUAUGUGCACCAUCCUCUUGAUAGAGGUUAAAUGAAGUAGUACAUUAAAGCAUGCAGAACAGUGAUUUAGGAAUUAGGGUGUAAGUUUGAUGUGCUAUAUUACUUUUCUUUGAGAGUUUAGUAAGUAAAAUAUAAAACAGUAAAAAAUAUUACAUGCUCUAAAAUGAACAAAGAAACACACAUUUAAGCAUGCCUAACUGGUACAGGAAACAGACCUGAGAAGUUUCUGGUUUACUUUUGAUCUCCAGGGUGAAAAAAUGGCAUGGGGAGGUUUCUUAGAAGACAACAUAGCUGUCCCUGUCUAAGGAGAGAACCAGGGUUCCUUGUACACCACAGUGCGGCUUCUCUGUUUGCUAGCUAUCUGAACUUCGUGAAUUGAUCAGCUUAUCUGAGUUUAAACUUCUGAAUUUGUUUAACAGAGAUAAUGAAAUUGCCUCUCUAGGAAAAUUGCUAUAACAUUAAAUGAGCCAAUGCAUGUAAAGAGCUGUACAGGGUGCCUGGCUCACAGCAUGCAUUCAACAUGUCUUAACCUGUAUUAAUAGCAAUGUAAAUAUUCUGUCUCAUCUCUGUAUUGCUUAUGGAGGCUAGAUUGAAUUCUUCACAUAAUUGAGAUUGGUUUUAAUAUUUUUUGCAUCUAAUUUUGGCUUCUAACUAGAGCAUACAAGACAAGACAUUCAGAAAUAAUACUUAGAGUUACAUACUAUAAUUACAAGGCAAAGUCUUCCCCCAAAGAAGUAAUUAAUUACAAAUAAAAUGGCUUGGGUUUCCUCCUUUUUCUCUAAGCUCAGACAAGCGGCUCUAACCUGUCCAAGCACUUCAGUGAGAGAGCUUCAGAGACAAAGGGCAGUGUUCUUCAGAGAAUGCAGUCUGUAUUUAGCAGACAGGGUCAUUUCUGGCAUCAGAACAGUGUCCAGUGUAAGCUGAGUUUUUUUUUUUUUUUUACAUGAGGAAUGGAAAUGUUGUCUCUGCCCUCUCCACAGCUACCUAGUAUCUCUAGACACAGAGAAGUUGUCAGUCUCAAGGUCUGAGUAAUGCCAGAAAAAGAACAAGAUCUCUCUGUGUGGGAAAAAGUUAUGGCCUUCAUUUGCAAGUAAUUUGUAAUGAAUUCUCUGAAAAUAUAUGCUUUUAAGGCUUUUAGCUGAUUUUAAAGUGUGAAGUGCUUAAAUCUCUCAAAGCUCUCUCUCUCUGUGUCUCUCUCUCUGUCUCUCUCUCUCUCUGUCUCUCUCUGUCUCUCUCUCUGUCUCUCUCUCUCUCUCUCUCUGUCUCUCUCUCUCUGUCUCUCUGUCUGUCUUCAACAAAAGAGGACUGUGGUCUGAGUGAUAUUGUCACUGAAAAGCAAGCAAAAUGGGGAUUCUGGGAAGGCUGAUUCUGGAUCCGAAAAUUACAGUGUAGUUCUCAGGUGCAGCUAGGCUCUUCAAAUCACUGCUUCUAUGUGAAUUCACAAAGCCAGAGUUAUUCGGCUGUCUGGAUAGGCACCGGGGAGAGUUCAAGGAGUUAAAACUGAACCCGUGUAGCUCCCAUCGGAAAGAUGAGAUAUAGCUGAUCAAAUGACUUUGCCCAAAACCAAUGGAACACAAAUCUCAACAUGAAGAAUCAAAACAUGACUCAGCCAGAUAAAAGGCACAAGGAGUAAGUACUUUGUGUUAUAGGAAGCAAAGGGUUCAAGGGUCUACAAGGAGCAGAGGAUAUUUCAUGGAGGAAGGGAGCUCUUGUUUAAAAUGCAGUGGAAGAACAACCCAAUGAUCCACAUGAAAGAAAAGAGACACUAAAGGAUGAGUAGGAGCUGUUAUACCACAGUAGGGCCAGGCAGGAAUAGCUUCUGUCCCUAAAUAGCCCACAGGUAUAAUCUACAGACUUCUCAUGGUUCACUAAACAUGACUACUAGGGACCCAGACUUCUCAGGCAGGACAGUUUGAACAGCAUCUGGCACCAGAAGAAACAUCAGCCAAAGUUCAAGGGAGAAGCUAAAGAAUGUCAGAGAAGGCAUUAACUAACUCCAUUGUCCCUCCUGCAGUCUCCUCUCAUGAACUGUGAACAUCUGACAGUGGUAGACUAUGUUUCUGAGAUUACUUUCUGUGUCCCACCUCUGGUGAAUACUGUCAUUCCAAGGUCUGAUAGACGAUGGAAUAGAGCAGCCCAUAUCCUCCACGUUAAGAUAGGACCAUAUUCAGGAAGCAAUUUGUGCCCAGGUGGCAGUUUGAGGUUUCUUGAGAAAUCAUACCUUGGGCUAACUUCUCCUUUCAUCCCCUGAUUCCACUGUCUGUUCCUGGCUUGUAGAUACACUUUCUAAAUUCAUAUUUUCUGAGGCUCCUCCUCUUUGGUUUAUAAAAAUGGUAUUUCAGUAGGAUUGAAGAAAGGGUUAAAGCAGAGGACAAAGACCCUGGAUUUGCUUAAGGUAAGUAAUCAGAUUCCCUUAGAAAAGCAGUGGAUGAAAGUCCCAGGAGAGAGUUUAGAAAUCCAGUUGUUAGACAAUACUUUUAACAGUCAAUCAAUGAAGCAGAUGUUGAGGGAUAUUAUCAGAAUAUCUUUCAAGCAAUACUGAUGUGUCUCCCCCAGGCAUUAAACAUCCUUAACUUUCCAGUUGUUCAAUGGACUCAUCUCAUAAGCACGUUCUACACUACCUCCUGAACACUUGAUAUUAGAGCAGGGGUUUCCUUUGGCUUUCUUCUUGCUUAUGUCCAUUUUCAGCUUCACUACUGAUAUUCCCUGAGAUUGUCUUCCAAAUAACCUGCAGUAAUCCUUGUGUCAGGUUUUUUUUUUUUUUCCUUGAGAAAUCCAAAUGAAGCCCUGUGUCUUCCACAAGACAUCCCAUACUACCAUUACCAUCCUCUGCUGAGAUCGGGAGUCUCAAGAGUCAAUUUGUGUAUGGUACUGAUCUACAGGUUUGGAGCCUGUUCCUGGGGGGAAAUUAUACCUUACUAUAUUUAUGAAUAUUACUAAAGAUGCAUAUUUUUCUUUUCUAAUAUUGUGACUAUGGUCUAAAUAAUGCAAGUACAUUGCAAGUAGAACACAUGUGGAGAAAGGGAAAUUAAGAUUUAUUUUGGGGACUUCAUGGUUGUCCUGUAAGCAGUGGAAUGCUAUGCUGGGAGUCUAUGCUUCAGCAGGUACAGACAGAGCCUUAGUUAUACACAGUGUAUUGUGCAGGAGUCACGCUGCUAUUAUAUAUGGUUUUGACUUUGAGGACCCUACAUCAUGGUCCUGGAAAUAGGAAAGCAUCCCAAUUAGUUAGCUAGAAACUAGUAAAACUAAUUUCAGUAUGUGGCUUUCUCUGAUGCUGUCUCAGGGCUAACCUCUAAGGAGGAACUCCCUUGGUUUAGAGAAAAGAAAAAGUGAUCUUGGAAUAAGUGCACAUACAGACCUCCAGUGUGGUCCAACAGUUGCUAAUGUGGCUGGCUAGCAGGUGCUAGGCUGUAUGAGAUGCAACUGAUUUGUUUUAAAAAAACCGAUCAUCAUUUCAUUCUCUCCCCCAUGCAUCUUUAAUUCCUACUUCUGCAUGUAAGUUUGUCUUAUUGCCACAUCAGAACUAUGAGACGUACUUUGCCAACUCUGCAUGUUGUUCAGUGUUAAAUGUUAGCUAAGCUCACGAUUUAUUAAUUUCACAAGCAGUUAGUGAAUGUCUGUAGUGUACCAGAUUCUGCUUAUAGGAGCAUUGAUGUCUAUUCACCACUGUAACCAUUUAUUAUCUCUUGCCAUAUAAAAAGAAACAUAUGGCACAUGGUUCCAGGAGUUUCUGGUCUAGUAACUAAGAAAAAAAUUUGGUAUAGUAUGUGCCGCAUAGGGGAAAGUUAAAGAAAAGAGGAGUUUAAGUAAACCUGACCUCAAGAAGAUAGUGGGAAUGGGAGCAAUCUGAAUGAAGUUUCAGACCACCAUGGUGGAGAGGAGGCGGCAAAGCAUCUUCCUUCCACAUGGACAGCAGGAAACACAGAGCAGCAUCACUGUACUAGCACAUUCUCUCCCUUUCUCUGUCUGGGACCCAAAACACUGGGAUGGAGGUGCCUGUAUUCUUAUCUCCCUUUAAUAAUAAAUACCUUCACUGACACAACUUGACAUGUGAUUUAACGAUUUCUUAGGCAUCUCCCCAUCCAAUCAAGUUAGGUAACUAAUGUUAACCAUCAUACUCAGUACUCCCUCGGAUUCUACCAGCAAGAGAACCAUCAUAAACUGCAGACUUCAGACUUGGAAUUCAUGAGUCCCAAACAGACUUCAUUUCCAUAUAAAGUUGCCUAGGCUGUGGCAUUACGUUACUAUCUGUGGGAGUCAUCGGAGGCAGUAGUGCUGUUCAAGUUCCAGUAUUCGGACACCAGGACCUCAUAAGAUGGAAGGAGGGCCUUUGAAUCAGGAAGAGAAUCAUAUGUCAUGGCUGGAUGUGGAGAUAAAGAUGGAGUAAGAAAGCUACUGGCUGUCAGCAGAGCUGGAAUGCAGAGACCAGUUGAUAGGUGAGUCAGACAAUGAAGGAUCUCACCCUCAUGCUAUGUAGUCCAGAUUCUUUAGAAGGCAAUGAGGACAAUACAAACAUUUAAAAAAUAUUGUAUUUGUUUUCCUAUGAGUGUACAAUCUGAGUGUGACAGUGUGUGUGUGUGUGUGUGUGUGUGUGUGUGUGUGCUUGUGCGUAUGUAUGUGGGUAAAAGUAAGAAGACAACUUGCAAUAUUUGGUUCUCUUUCACCAUGUGGGUCUUGGUGAUCAGACAAAAAUCACAUUCUAUUGCAGGCCAUUUUACUGACUGAACUAUGUCACUGGCCCAAAACAUUUUUAAAGAGAUUGGUAAUAUAAUAAAAUAAUAUCUUUAUUUUAGUUCCUUCUGGUGUUUCUGAAGAGAUUGAAUUGUGAAGGAAAGGAAGGAAAGGAAGGAAGAAAGGAAGGAAGGAAGGAAGGGAGGGAGGGUAGAGGGAGGAAGAGAGGGAGGGAGGGAGGGAGGGAGGAAGGUGUCAUUUAGGAUAGAGAAAUUGUACAGGGCAAAGUUCAUGCAAAUUAGACCUAGAUAAGUGCAAAUAAAGAGUGUGGAAAGUUGUGCAAGGCACACAACUGUCAUCCCAGUACUGAGAGGCAGAGGAGGAAGUACUGAAAUUCUAAGACAGGCUGGCCUACAUAGCAAGUACCUGGCAUGCGUCAUAAGGGAGUGGGAGGUGAGAAAAUCACCCUCCACCACAUCUUCCUGUCUCAUCAACACUUUGGUCAUUUUUGUAAGACAAACAUUUCCUGUUCAUCCGCUAGCUGGAAAAAGUUGGGUGGGUGCUCACAGUAACCACAAACCACAUCUAAGUAACUGCUGUGCUCUUGAUCAUAUAAAAGCUCCUGCAGACCUGUGCAGUCCAUCAGUUAGUGAGCCGCAUCUCAGAGGUGGUUUCCCUCUUGCAACAGUCAGGUGGUGCUGUAACUCAGGAUACGGACCUUGCCCUCAGUUACUCACGUCUUCCACUGGGUAAGAAGGCUGCCUGGAGCUUGAGGGCUCUGUUUCUACCAAAAAUCCCUGGCACAAACUGGUGAGUCUAGGUCCUGAUCCUGUAUUCGAGGCUCUGUUUUGUUGACAGCAGGUAAGGUAUAUAUAUAUAUAUAUAUUUUUUUUUUAAUUUUCAGUUUAGUUUCAAUGAUGGAUUUUAUUUAUCUUAUGGUCAUAUAGUAAUUUCUGCCAAUGAAUUGACUGUUUAUAAAUAUUAUGUCUCUAUUAGAUGAAAAAUGACAGAAAAUUGAAUAAGUGACUUUUCUAUUUAUCUAAUUUCCUUUAAGGACAACUUGAAGAAUUUGUCACUACUCGGAAAAUGAGGGUCUUGAAUAUAAUGUUUCUGUGUUUAUGCUUGAUUUAUGGUUAACAUAUAUAUAUAUAUAUAUAUAUAUAUAUAUAU